rnacentral:tRNA from 14 species
ACUAUUUUGGCAGAUAAGUGUAAUGGUUUUAGAAAUCAUAAAUGUAUAAAUAUAUUAUAUAGGUAGUA